UACGAAGGGGGCUAGCGUUGUUCGGAAUUACUGGGCGUAAAGCGCGUGUAGGCGGGUCUUUAAGUCAGGGGUGAAGUGCCAAGGCUCAACCUUGGAACUGCCUUUGAUACUGGAGAUCUUGAGUCCGGGAGAGGUGAGUGGAAUUGCGAGUGUAGAGGUGAAAUUCGUAGAUAUUCGCAAGAACACCAGUGGCGAAGGCGGCUCACUGGCCCGGAACUGACGCUGAGACGCGAAAGCGUGGGGAGCAAACAGG
rnacentral:rRNA from 1 species